GCGAACUCGGGGCGCGCGGCGGGGGGAGUAGGGGGGGGUCGGGCGGUGGCCGGAAUACCGGGGCGGAAAGGGCGCGGAGGCGGGGCGGGAAGUCAGUGGUGAAAGCCCGCGGCUCAACUGCGGGUCGGCCACUGAGACUCUCGUGCUCGAGUUUGGUAGAGGCAGAUGGAAUUCCGGGUGUAGCGGUGGAAUGCGUAGAGAUCCGGAAGAACACCGGUGGCGAAGGCGGUCUGCUGGGCCAAGACUGACGCUGAGGCGCGACAGCGUGGGGAGCAAACAGGAUUAGAUACCCCGGUAGUC
rnacentral:rRNA from 1 species